rnacentral:rRNA from 1 species
AACGAACGCUGGCGGCAUGCCUAACACAUGCAAGUCGAACGAGACCUUCGGGUCUAGUGGCGCACGGGUGCGUAACGCGUGGGAAUCUGCCCUUGGGUUCGGAAUAACUCGCCGAAAGAUGUGCUAAUACCGCGUAAGACCACGGCAUCGCAUGGUGCAGGGGUCAAAGGAGCAAUCCGGUUUAAGAUGGGCUCGCGUCCGAUUAGCUAGUUGGUGAGAUAACAGCCCACCAAGGCAACGAUCGGUAGCCGACCUGAGAGGGUGAUCGGCCACAUUGGAACUGAGACACGGUCCAG